rnacentral:piRNA from 1 species
UCAAACNCAAGAGGUCUGCCUGCCUAGGAUU